rnacentral:rRNA from 1 species
UACGGGGGGGGCAAGCGUUGUUCGGAAUUACUGGGCGUAAAGGGCUCGUAGGCGGCCAACUAAGUCAGACGUGAAAUCCCUCGGCUUAACCGGGGAACUGCCUCUGAUACUGGAUGGCUUGAGAUUGGGAGAGGGAUGCGGAAUUCCAGGUGUAGCGGUGAAAUGCGUAGAUAUCUGGAGGAACACCGGUGGCGAAGGCGGCAUCCUGGACCAACACUGACGCUGAGGAGCGAAAGCCAGGGGAGCAAGCGGG